rnacentral:rRNA from 1 species
UACGUAGGGGGCAAGCGUUGUCCGGAAUCAUUGGGCGUAAAGAGCGCGUAGGCGGCCCUGUAAGUCCGCUGUGAAAGUCAGGGGCUCAACCCCUGGAUGCGGGUGGAUACUGCUGGGCUAGAGUCCGGAAGAGGUGAGUGGAAUUCCUGGUGUAGCGGUGGAAUGCGUAGAUAUCGUAAGGAAGACCAGUGGCGAAGGCGGCUAUCUGGACCGACAUUGACGCUGAGGCGCGAAAGCGUGGGGAGCAAACAGG